UACGGAGGGUGCAAGCGUUAUCCGGAUUUACUGGGUUUAAAGGGUGCGUAGGUGGGUUGGUAAGUCAGUGGUGAAAUACUUUCGCUUAACGAAGGAACUGCCAUUGAUACUACCAGUCUUGAAUACAGUGGAGGUAGGCGGAAUGCGUCAUGUAGCGGUGAAAUGCUUAGAUAUCUGGAGGAACACCGGUGGCGAAGGCGGCAUCCUGGACCAACACUGACGCUGAGUGAGCGAAAGCCAGGGGAGCAAACGGG
rnacentral:rRNA from 1 species